GCCCGCUCAGAAACUCAAAGGAAUUGACGGGGCCCGCACAAGCGGUGGAGUAUGUGGUUUAAUUCGAUGCAACGCGAAGAACCUUACCUGGUCUUGACAUCCCGGAGACCCUUAGGAAACUAGGGGGUGCUUCCAUCUGGAAGAAUCUGGAGACAGGUGCUGCAUGGCUGUCGUCAGCUCGUGUCGUGAGAUGUUGGGUUAAGUCCCGCAACGAGCGCAACCCUUGCCUUUAGUUGCCAGCAGUUCGGCUGGGCACUCUAAAGGGACUGCCGGUGUUAAACCGGAGGAAGGUGAGGAUGACGUCAAGUCCUCAUGGCCUUUAUGACCAGGGCUACACACGUACUACAAUGGCCGAUACAAAGGGCAGCGACACUGCGAGGUGAAGCCAAUCCCGUAAAAUCGGUCUCAGUCCGGAUUGGAGUCUGCAACUCGACUCCAUGAAGUUGGAAUCGCUAGUAAUCGUGGAUCAGCAUGCCACGGUGAAUACGUUCCCGGGCCUU
rnacentral:rRNA from 1 species